rnacentral:ncRNA from 1 species
ACAGUACAAACUGAGCAGACCGUGAUCGCAAAUCAUGGAGUCGGGUCACAAAAAGUGACAGUGGAAUUUUCUACCCACGGGACAGU